AGUCCCAUUAGUUUUCUUUGCAGCCUCGUUUGAAUGUCGCGGUUGCGCACAUUUGUAUGGGAUUAGCGUACAUUACCCCUGUUAUUAGGAUGACAUCUUCUUCCCUGAAAAGGUUUUCAUCCUGGAGAAGACUGUGCAUGAGGCAGAGGAGGAGAGAACAGUUAGUACAGCAUGCCAAACUGACCCCUGGGUGCCAGAGUGUUCCUGUGCUGCGAUGGAGAAGAGGUCCACCGGGACCAUCACUAAAGAACUCGGGGCCCAGCUAGAUUGAGCUCACGACCAUCAGUAUGCAACCGAGUCCUGCCCCUAUACGCCACAGAUGGAGCUGACGGAGAGUGAGAUCAGUGAAGACCAGAACUCGCUGUAUGAAACUGAGAGCUCAGAAUCACAGUCAUCACAGUCCUAGCCAAGAUAAACUGUCUAUCACUUUGGGGGAGCGGGGUGGUGUUACGAAAAUGGAGAAGGAGCAGGCCUUUCAACAGCAAAUUCAAAGAUGCACCCAUCCAUGAAGGGAAUCUGAGUGGAAUUGUUUUUCCACAGAUUUUUUUACCCUUUUCAAUGGAUGUGCUAACCUUGUCCCGGUUUGGCUGUUUCGACUCUCUCUCUCAACCUAUUCAUGCUCAGCUACGAAAAACCAACUGACAUUUGCUACUGAGGUGUUGAACUGUUGCACCCUCUAUAACCACUGUGGUUAUUAUUUUGAUGUGAAAAGGGCUUUUGUAAAAUAUAUUUGAUUGAUUGAUUGUUUGCUGUGCUGGAUGCUGUGUAUUCACUAAACGUCUGAGUGAUGGGACUUUUUUAUACAGUAUCUGUAACAUAUGUUGGUGUGUAUUUCAUCUGCAUCUUAACUUAUUAAAGGGUCAAUCAGCAGUAGAAACAAUAACACAGUGACUCCCUGGUCCUUAUUUGGUAAAAAGCGGAGGGAUGGGGCUGGAGAAAUGUAACCACUCUCAAAUUC